rnacentral:rRNA from 1 species
UGGCUCAGGACGAACGCUGGCGGCGUGCCUAAUACAUGCAAGUCGAGCGAGCUUGCCUAGAUGAAUUUGGUGCUUGCACCAAAUGAAACUAGAUACAAGCGAGCGGCGGACGGGUGAGUAACACGUGGGUAACCUGCCCAAGAGACUGGGAUAACACCUGGAAACAGAUGCUAAUACCGGAUAACAACACUAGACGCAUGUCUAGAGUUUAAAAGAUGGUUCUGCUAUCACUCUUGGAUGGACCUGCGGUGCAUUAGCUAGUUGGUAAGGUAACGGCUUACCGAGGCAAUGAUGCAUAGCCGAGUUGAGAGACUGAUCGGCCACAUUGGGACUGAGACACGGCCCAAACUCCUACGGGAGGCAGCAGUAGGGAAUCUUCCACAAUGGACGCAAGUCUGAUGGAGCAACGCCGCGUGAGUGAAGAAGGGUUUCGGCUCGUAAAGCUCUGUUGGUAGUGAAGAAAGAUAGAGGUAGUAACUGGCCUUUAUUUGACGGUAAUUACUUAGAAAGUCACGGCUAACUACGUGCCAGCAGCCGCGGUAAUACGUAGGUGGCAAGCGUUGUCCGGAUUUAUUGGGCGUAAAGCGAGUGCAGGCGGUUCAAUAAGUCUGAUGUGAAAGCCUUCGGCUCAACCGGAGAAUUGCAUCAGAAACUGUUGAACUUGAGU